UACGAAGGGGGCAAGCGUUGUUCGGAAUUACUGGGCGUAAAGGGCGCGCAGGCGGCCGAUCAAGUCAGAUGUGAAAGCCCCGGGCUCAACCUGGGAAUAGCAUUUGGGACUGGUCGGCUAGAGUUCGGGAGAGGAGAGUGGAAUUCCCAGUGUAGAGGUGAAAUUCGUAGAUAUUGGGAAGAACACCGGUGGCGAAGGCGGCUCUCUGGACCGACACUGACGCUGAGGCGCGAAAGCGUGGGGAGCAAACAGG
rnacentral:rRNA from 2 species